rnacentral:hammerhead_ribozyme from 1 species
AUCCAGUGACCUGUCCCAAAUAGGACGAAAUGCCCAUCCUGGAU